CCUUUUAAUUAUAUAUACAUAUUAAAGAGGGACAAUGAUACAGUUCCUCAGGUUCACUUUGUCAACCAUGGUAACCGCCUAUCACCGUCCCCCUCGCCCAAUGACAUGCAAUUGCUUCCACCGCCUUCUAUUUCUUUCAUAUGCCUCCGUCUUUUCGAGACAAUCAAUCUCCAGUUCCUUCCAUUCCCUAACCAUUCCUUCCGCCGCUUCUUAGUGUAAAUAAACCCAAAUCCAGCGGAAAACACACCAUCAAGAUAUGGAAUCGCAAAACGACUUCCAUCGGGUUUUCCUCGCCUCUGGUGAUAGAAGGUCACAUCGAAACUGGACCUGCAGAUGGUACCGACGUCUGCUUCGGUUCCCCGUUCCCUCUCGCUUUCUUCUCUAUUCGAUUACGGUUCUACAGAUUUCAUUCGAUUGACCGGUUUUGCUCCAGUUGGUAAUUGCUUUUGACUUCGACCCACUCUUUCCUUUUCUACCAACUCCGCUGCUCUUUUGUACUUUCUUUCUGAAAUUGGAACUUGCUCUUCUUAUCAACUUUGCUCACCACAUGUUUGAUAAAAUGCCUUUGAGGCAUUCACAACGAUUAUUAAAGCGGAGAAACUCUUGAACCUUUUCUAUUUUUUAAAUCGAUCGAGCCUUCCACGAUUGGAGGUCGUCAACUGUUUCGACCCCUAAAUUGGUUGAAGGAAUACCUGUCGAUUUCCAGUUCGGAGCUUCAAUUGCAUUUCGACCUGUGCUUGCUCUAGCUAUUGGAUACACAAUAUCUAAGGAACUGUAUGGAUUAUAUAUAGGAAUUUGUAAGCAAAGGAUACCAAUCAAGAUUACUACUUCGUCCUAUCAGAUAACUUCUCUUUCCAUUUUCCAUAUUUCAUUAUCUUUUUUUUUUUUUUUUUUUUUUUGUUUUUUCUUUAGAUGCUGAAAGUACAUUGACUAUGUUGACCAGGGUGGUGCUGAAUUUAUUUGUGGAGGUCCCCCAUGUCAAGGAAUAAGUGGCCAUAAUCAGUUUAGAAACUACAUGGAUCCUCUAAAAGAUCCCAUGAAUCAUUAGCUUCUGGUUUAUAUGGAUAUAAUUGAUUUUUUAAAGCAAAUAUUUGUUUUAAUGGAGAAUGUUUGUGACAUUGUGAAAUUUGUUAAUGGGAUUUUGGGAUUUUUUGCA